rnacentral:rRNA from 1 species
AGAGUUUGAUCCUGGCUCAGGAUGAACGCUGGCGGCGUGCUUAACACAUGCAAGUCGAGCGGAGAUUACUUAGGUGCUUGCACCUAAAUAAUCUUAGCGGCGGACGUAACGCGUGGGUAACCUACCUUAUACAGGGGGAUAACAUAUUGAAAAGUAUGCUAAUACCGCAUAAGCGCACGAGAUCGCAUGGUCUAGUGUGAAAAGCCGAGACGGUAUAAGAUGGACCCGCGUCUGAUUAGCUAGUAGGUGAGGUAAUGGCUCACCUAGGCGACGAUCAGUAGCCGACCUGAGAGGGUGAUCGGCCACAUUGGGACUGAGACACGGCCCAAACUCCUACGGGAGGCAGCAGUGGGGAAUAUUGCACAAUGGGGGAAACCCUGAUGCAGCGACGCCGCGUGAAGGAUGAAGGUUUUCGGAUCGUAAACUUCUAUCAGCAGGGACGAUAAUGACGGUACCUGACUAAGAAGCCCCGGCUAACUACGUGCCAGCAGCCGCGGUAAGACGUAGGUGGCAAGCGUUGUCCGGAAUUACUGGGUGUAAAGGGAGCGUAGGCGGCUAUGUAAGUUAAAUGUGAAAGGCAACGGCUCAACCGUUGUAAGCGUUUAAAACUGCGUAGCUUGAGAUAGAUAGAGGCAGGGGGGGAAUUCCUAGUGUAGCGGUGAAAUGCGUAGAUAUUAGGAGGAACACCAGUGGCGAAGGCGGCCUGCUGGGUCUGGUCUGACGCUGAGGCUCGAAAGCGUGGGUAGCAAACAGGAUUAGAUACCCUGGUAGUCCACGCUGUAAACGAUGAUUACUAGGUGUGGGGAUGGAAACAUAACCGUGCCGGAGUUAACACAAUAAGUAAUCCACCUGGGGAGUACGGCCGCAAGGUUGAAACUCAAAGGAAUUGACGGGGGCCCGCACAAGCAGUGGAGUAUGUGGUUUAAUUCGACGCAACGCGAAGAACCUUACCAGGUCUUGACAUUGAGCGAAUAUGUAAGAGAUUGCAUAGUUACUUUAGGGUAACGCAAAAACAGGUGGUGCAUGGUUGUCGUCAGCUCGUGUCGUGAGAUGUUGGGUUAAGUCCCGCAACGAGCGCAACCCUUACCAUUAGUUACUACGGAUAGAAGAGGACUCUAAUGGGACUGCCGUUGAUAAAACGGAGGAAGGUGGGGAUGACGUCAAGUCCUCAUGGCCCUUAUAGGUGGGGCUACACACGUCAUACAAUGGCUGGUACAAAGGGUUGCCAACCCGCGAGGGGGAGCUAAUCCCAUAAAGCCAGUCGUAGUCCGGAUCGUAGUCUGCAACUCGACUACGUGAAGUCGGAAUCGCUAGUAAUCGUGGAUCAGAAUGUCACGGUGAAUACGUUCCCGGGUCUUGUACACACCGCCCGUCACACCAUGGGAGCGGGUCUCGCCAGAAGUAGUUAGCCUAACCGCAAGGAGGGCGAUUACCACGGCGGGGUUCGUGACUGGGGUGAAGUCGUAACAAGGUAACC